AUUGGGUUUCUUAUCAACGCAACGCGCGGAGUGGCAUUCUGCGUCCCUUUGGUCAUUUGUUUAUAUACGGCACACAUCGCUGAAUUCGAAUUGCGUGUUUACUAAUUUCAACCGCUGACACCCAAGUUGGACUUUGAAGAUAGGUUUGUUCUUAACCAACGGACCAUUGAUGUCAAUUACGAGUGUGGACACUGGUGCCAGUCACGAGUUCGAAUCUGUUUUCUUUAAGGAUUUCCCCUGCAUUUUGAGGAGGGGGCGAUAGUUAGACAUUGUUGAUUCUUUGUUAAGGGAUUUUCAAGACAACCACUCCUGACAAUUUGUGACAUCUCGCAAGCGUCACAAUGACAAAGAAGAACGGUUCUGCCGUUUUGACGGCUGCUACCCAGAUUGAAAAAGAAACACCGAACAGUUCUGCCGGACUUGUCAACGGUGGCUUCCAAUACGACGACCAACACUCAAUCAUCCUGGAUCCACGAGCUCUAAACGGAGAUGCCCAUGGAGGCAAGAAAAAGAUGAUAGGCCAGGAAGAUGAACUCAGGAACUCCUUAAUCGGAGAGGAGAGGAUGGUUGUGGAGAGGCCAAUCUACAACCAGUUGGAAUUCGACAAAGGCUUCGAGAGCGGGAAACGGCCGGUGACAUUACCUCACACAUGGGCUAAGAAGAAAGUGAACAAGUUAUCUUGCUCGGGAAAAUGUGUAGGGAAGUUCUUCACGUCCUUGUUCCCCUUCAUGAGGAUCUUGAGGGGCUACAGUAUACGGCACGACCUUGUGGCAGACAUCAUUGCUGGACUCACUGUUGGAAUAAUGCAUAUACCUCAAGGCAUGGCGUACGGCCAACUGUCAACAUUACCGCCCGUCUUCGGUCUAUAUGUCUCCUUCUUCCCAGUUUUCAUCUACUUCCUGUUCGGAACAUCGAAACAUAUAUCUAUAGGCACAUUUGCUGUUGUGAGUUUAAUGGUAGGAUCUGUAGUGGACAAGGGCAUGACAGCGAGAGGCUUCACCACAGAACAGUUAGAAGCAGCAAACAAAAAGGAUAUUACAACGUUAGCACCGGUGCUGUUUAAUGUGUCCGGCGACAACCUGACCUUCAGCAAUGGCACCAAUGGCACCGACACUGGUGGAGACGAAGUGAUGGAUGCCCUCAUACUCAGCACCAAACUCAAGCUGGCCAUGGCUGUCACAUUUGGAAUCGGAUGUAUUCAACUGCUGAUGGGUCUGUGUCGGCUGGGCUUUGUCACAGUUUACCUGUCCGAUCCCCUCGUUAGCGGUUUCACGACAGGUGCAGCAUGCCAUGUGUUCACAAGCCAGAUAAAACAUAUAUUCGGCGUUCAGAUGGGCAGAUAUUAUGGUCCACUCAAACUAGUUUGGUCAUACCGAGACUUCUUCAUGAACAUCCCCGAGACGAAUGCUGUGACGCUGAUAGCCUCCAUCUUAUGCAUCCUGCUGCUGUCGGUCGUCAAGGAGUGCAUCAACAACAACCCCAAAGUGAAACCCAAACUCAAGAUGCCUGUGCCUAUAGAACUCAUUGUGGUUGUGCUUGGUACUGUGAUUUCACAGUUUGCCCACCUGAAUCAGAACUUUGAUGUGAAGAUUGUUGGUGAUAUUCCUGUCGGCAUCCCUGCCCCCAAGGCCCAACAGUUUGAGUAUCUUCCUGACGUUAUCAGCGAUGCAGUAGCCGUGGGAAUUGUUGCCUUCGCCAUCUCCGUGUCAAUGGCAAAGAUUCUAGCAAAGAAACAUGACUAUGAUGUCGAUUCUAAUCAGGAGUUGCUGGCAUACGGCAUCGUCAACAUCUUCAGCUCCUUCUUCUCCUCCUUCUGCGCAUCAGCCUCACUCUCACGUAGCUUGGUGCAGGAGGGGGUCGGAGGUCGCACACAGGUGGCAGGGUUGUUCUCCAGUGCUCUCCUUCUCAUCGUGCUACUGCUGGUGGGGCCAUACUUUGCCUCCCUCCCUAACUGUGUGCUCGCUGCUAUUAUCAUUGUCGCUCUGAAGGGAAUGUUCAAGCAGUUCCUGGAGCUGAAACGAUUGUGGAAAAUAUCCCUUGUAGAUUUUCUGGUGUGGUUAGUGACGUGGACUGCUACUGUUCUCCUGGAUGUUGAUCUUGGUCUCGGCGUCGGCGUGGGAUUUGCUCUCCUCACCGUGAUUGUCAGGUCUCAGAGGCCGUACGCAUGUCUGAUGGGUCAUGUGCCAGGCACGGAUCUCUACAGGGAUAUCAAGGCCUACAAAGCUGCUAGCGAAAUCUCGGGAAUCAAGAUCUACCGGUUCGAUUCUGCACUAUUCUUUGCCAACACAGAACAUUUCAAACAGACCAUAUACAAGCUGGCAGCCGAUCCCAAAGCUCUCAAGAAGAUGAUCAAGAAAGCCAUGAAACUUCAGAAGAAGGAAGAUCGCUCACAGACACAGAUUGUCAAGGAAACGACCAACAAUUCUACAGAUGUUCAUUUGCGGAUUUCAUCAGAAAACAUCAGUACAAUUCCACUGAGAGGCUCGGAAGUCCACACAGUGAUCAUUGACUGUUCCACGAUGAGCUACGUGGACUCGGUUGGUGUAAAGGUUCUAGGACAGGUGAUCAAUGAACUGAGGGAUGUCCAUGUAUCGGUGCUACUGGCACAUUGUAAAGUGGACGUCCGUGAGAUGCUUGAGAAGACAGGGUUCUUCAAGACCAACGACAAGGAGCAGGUGUUUGUCACCGUCCAUGACGCUGUCCUCAGUUCGCAGAGGAAAGCACUUCCAUCCAAUGGGAAUAUAAAGAAUGGCCGUGCCAGUACCACAACAAAGGCAAUUGAAGAAAUAGCAGACUACCAGAAUGGCAAUUCCACCGACACCGAGAACUAUCAACUGGACUCGAUGGUAAGAGAGCGCCUUUAGCUGAUGCAACAAGGCUGUGAUAAUCAUGAUCAUCAUUUCGGGAAAACGUCUCUUUAAAUGCUGUGAUUAACUGUCCUUUGGGAUGGCUGGAGAAAACAGAACAGUGUUGAUUGUGAUGGAAUGUUUCACACCAAUGCUGCAGCCAGUUAAUAUCAUCAUUCUCAUCUCAUGAACACCAUCAAACCUUGCGACAAUCAUGUCCAACCUCACCUCCUGAUUGGCUGAACAAGAUUCAAGCAUAUUUGCAUAUUCACAAUAUCAAUAUUCAUGAAGGUUCAUCAAAUACUUGUAUCUGAACAAUAUUAGAAUAUUCAUCAGGCAUUUGUGAUGUCAUAGUCAGUCUUUUCCACAUGAAUAUUUAUAUUCCUUUAUUUGAAUAUAUGAAUAUUCAUGAGAGUGUAUAAUCAUUGUUUGGAAUUAUGAAUAUUCAUAUGGUUUUGUUUGAACAUGAAUAUUUAUAGCAUCCAAACCAAAGACAUGCAACAUAAUUCGACAAAUUGGUCACAUACAGAACUGAGCAUCUGUAGAUACAUGUAUAUGCAUAUUAUCACAACAUCAACGGGAGGGUAUAUUAUCAAGAUGUUAUACUCCUAAUGGUUGAUAUGAUAUAUGAAUAUUCAAAGACAAUCUGUACAUGUGGCAUUUUUAAUUCGAUUUCAUAUAUAAAAUAUAAGCCAUAUUAUUAGUAGAUGUAUGUUAACUUUGUAACAAUGUUUUGUCUUUUGUAGCCGAGGUUUCAUAUUAUAGGGUGUAGAAAAUAGUUUAAUAUGCAUACCUACAUCACAGGGAUUCACCCAAGAACAGGUCUGAGCAGGUUCCUCAAUAAAUAGUACUUAUUAGAGUUCUUUAAGCUAAUAAUUAAAAACACAUUUAAUAUUGUGAUAAGGCCAGAUCAAUUUAAUUACAUGUUUUUUUUAGUUAUAUCAUCAAAAUAAGGCAAGAUGGGGAAAAUGCAAUAACUAAAAUUUGCUUGUUUUAAUAUAAAAAAAUCUGUGACUAAGGUAUUUGUUUUACUGUAUUUACUUGAGCAUAAUCUUUUCAGAGGUAAUAUGUUUUCCUAAUGAAAAUUGCAGGACUUUUUUCGAUGAGUGAACAAAGUGGAAGAGAAUGUCAAAAUGUCAAUGUAACUGUAUAAAUUUUAACAUGAAAGGUUACUGAACAAUUAUUUCUUGCUAGGAUUUUUUUUAUCCUUUUUUGUUAAAAAGGCUAAAAGAGAUAUGUGGAUGCGUAUGACAAGUAAUUAUUUUGGUCUGGUCUGAGCUAAGAUGGCAUUGUGAGAGUAUAAGCAAAGUUCUCUGUAAAUGUACAAACGUGAAUAACUAUGACAAUUUUUUUUAAAAACAACUGAAAAGAUGGAAAAAAAAUGAACUUGUGUGUUCAGAAUAAUUGUCUGAUCAUUUUAAACAAAAUAUCAUGCUGUAAGGUUUUUGAAUAAAAUAAGCUUAAUACCUGUAUACAUAGGGAUGAUAUUAUGUGUUACGGAAAGGAAGUGGUGUGGGAUUGAGGUUAUCAGUAGGGGUAACAAAAACAUGACUGGGGGUGGAGGAGGGGUGCGGUUUGUCUGGAGGGGUAAGAAAUGCACGACUGACAGGACAAAAAGAGAUAAUGCUAUUAUAGUGGCUCGUGGAUAAAUUGACAUUAUUUCCAUCUGAAAAAUGUUUAGUGUUUUUUUUCUAAUGAACUACUUUGGCAUUUUUUACAUUCAAAGGGUGAGUCAUGAAAAUAAUAUACAAGCAGGGAGGGUCCCACCAAAAUGUCAUCUUGUUUAUGGGUGACAAGUCUCCAGCCCCCCCUGUUUGUAAAUGACAGGUCCAUGGUAGCAGUUGAUGACAUGUGGACCAUCGAUAUGCAGUAGGUCAUGGUGACCUUAAUAUCCUGCAAGGUUGCAAAAUAUUAUUUCAAGUUUGAAAAAUGUGAAAAUGUAUGCCUUUGCUUGAUAUCGUUGUGAAAAUGAAUGCAUUUGCUCGAUACUAUUCUGAAAAUGUAAUACUUUUGCUUCAAAUAUACAUUCCAUCCUGGUUGUAUAUAGACCCCAUGACAAUGACAAAUGCACAAUUGUAUUAUGUUCCUAAUUCCUGAAAGUAAACUGCCUGGCAAAAGAAACUACACACUCAAAUAAAACAAACAAGAAAUGGUUAUUUAAAGGUGAUGUAUUUGAUACGGGUAUCAUUGUGUUGUGCACCAUACGUUUGCAGUGUUUCGGCAACUGUUUUUUUAAGCCUAGUAACAUUUUGAUAACAUUUGUAAUAUUUUUGUCAAUUCAAAUUUUCAAGUGAAAACAUUCUUUUGACAGGCAGUUAAUUUCAAGAACAGACAUAAACUGUACACAAUUAAUAUCGUUUGAUCCUUAUGAAAAUGAAGUUUGAUUUUUUUCUUAGGCCUAAUAGUUUUUUAGUUUGGUUUAUGAGACUGGCCGUCAAAAAACCCUGGAAUUAGAAUAAAAAUAAAAUGACUUUUGACACACAGUUUGGCGGAUUCCGUUUUACUACUAGGUCUA